UACGGGGGGAGCAAGCGUUGUUCGGAUUUACUGGGCGUAAAGGGCGCGUAGGCGGCCACCGCAAGUCGACUGUGAAAUCUCCGGGCUUAACCCGGAAAGGUCAGCCGAUACUGCGGGGCUAGAGUGCAGAAGGGGCAACUGGAAUUCUCGGUGUAGCGGUGAAAUGCGUAGAUAUCGGGAGGAACACCAGUGGCGAAGGCGACUUCCUGGCCUGUUCUUGACGCUGAGGCGCGAAAGCUAGGGUAGCAAACGGGG
rnacentral:rRNA from 1 species